rnacentral:rRNA from 1 species
GACGAACGCUGGCGGCGUGCUUAACACAUGCAAGUCGAGCGGAAAGGCUCCUUCGGGGGUACUCGAGCGGCGAACGGGUGAGUAACACGUGAGUAAUCUGCCCUGUGCUCUGGGAUAGCCACCGGAAACGGUGAUUAAUACCGGAUAUGACCAGCUACUGCAUGGUGGUUGGUGGAAAGUUUUUCGGCACAGGAUGUGCUCGCGGCCUAUCAGCUUGUUGGUGAGGUAAUGGCUCACCAAGGCUUUGACGGGUAGCCGGCCUGAGAGGGUGACCGGUCACACUGGGACUGAGACACGGCCCAGACUGCUACGGGAGGCAGCAGUGGGGAAUAGUGGACAAUGGGCGCAAGCCUGAUGCAGCAACGCCGCGUGCGGGAUGACGGCCUUCGGGUUGUAAACCGCUUUUAGUAGGGAAGAAGCGAAAGUGACGGUACCUGCAGAAAAAGCACCGGCUAACUACGUGCCAGCCGCCGCGGUAAGAC